AUUGAACGCUGGCGGCAGGCCUAACACAUGCAAGUCGAACGAGUGGCGGACGGGUGAGUAAUGUCUGGGAAACUGCCUGAUGGAGGGGGAUAACUACUGGAAAAGGUAGCUAAUACCGCAUACCAUCGGAUGUGCACAGAUGGUAUGAGCUAGUAGGUGGGGGAAAGGCUCACCUAGGCGACGAUCCAUAGCUGGUAUGAGAGGAUGACCAGCCACACUGGAACUGAGACACGGUCCAGACUCCUACGGGAGGCAGCAGUGGGGAAUAUUGCACAAUGGGCGCAAGCCUGAUACAGCCAUGCCGCGUGUGUGAAGAAGGCCUUCGGGUUGUAAAGCACUUUCAGCGGGGAGGCGUUACCCGCAGAAGAAGCACCGGCUAACUCCGUGCCAGCAGCCGCGGUAAUAC
rnacentral:rRNA from 1 species